AGUGAACGCUGGCGGUAGGCCUAACACAUGCAAGUCGAACGGCAGCACAGUAAGAGCUUGCUCUUACGGGUGGCGAGUGGCGGACGGGUGAGGAAUACAUCGGAAUCUACUUUUUCGUGGGGGAUAGCGUAGGGAAACUUACGCUAAUACCGCAUACGACCUACGGGUGAAAGCAGGGGAUCUUCGGAACUUGCGCGAUUGAAUGAGCCGAUGUCGGAUUAGCUAGUUGGCGGGGUAAAGGCCCACCAAGGCGACGAUCCGUAGCUGGUCUGAGAGGAUGAUCAGCCACACUGGAACUGAGACACGGUCCAGACUCCUACGGGAGGCAGCAGUGGGGAAUAUUGGACAAUGGGCGCAAGCCUGAUCCAGCCAUGCCGCGUGGGUGAAGAAGGCCUUCGGGUUGUAAAGCCCUUUUGUUGGGAAAGAAAAGCAGCAGGUUAAUACCCCGCUGUUCUGACGGUACCCAAAGAAUAAGCACCGGCUAACUUCGUG
rnacentral:rRNA from 1 species